rnacentral:rRNA from 1 species
AACGAACGCUGGCGGCAGGCUUAACACAUGCAAGUCGAACGCAUCGCAAGAUGAGUGGCAGACGGGUGAGUAACGCGUGGGAAUCUACCCAUCUCUGCGGAAUAGCUCUGGGAAACUGGAAUUAAUACCGCAUACGCCCUAAGGGGGAAAGAUUUAUCGGGGAUGGAUGAGCCCGCGUUGGAUUAGCUAGUUGGUGGGGUAAAGGCCUACCAAGGCGACGAUCCAUAGCUGGUCUGAGAGGAUGAUCAGCCACAUUGGGACUGAGACACGGCCCAACCUCGUACGGAAGGCAGCAGUGGGGAAUAUUGGACAAUGGGCGCAAGCCUGAUCCAGCCAUGCCUCGUGAGUGAUAAAGGCCUUAGGGUUGUAAAGCUCUUUCACCGAUGUAGAUAAUGACGGUAGUCGGAGAAGAAGCCCCGGCUAACUUCGUGCCAGCCCCCGCCGUAA